CCCUUUUCACCGAUCUCAGCCAUUCCCUCCGCCGAGCGACCCCAAAUCGCGUUCCUCUGCCGCAUCUCCUUCCCCUCCUCCCCCUCUCCGUUGGCCUCCUCUCCGUAGACAUCUUCCUCCUCCUCCGCCGCAGAGCACUCACGCGGCGUUUGAAGUUUGGAGCCGGCAAGGACAGGGACAAGGCCAGGAGGAGUUUGUAAGAUUCUACUCUCCUGGAAAGGGGCGAUCCUCGCUACCGUACGAGUCUUUGCUCAGGU